GAGUUCAUCUGUUCCGCCGUUAAU
rnacentral:miRNA from 1 species